rnacentral:rRNA from 1 species
CUGGUUGAUCCUGCCAGACCCGACUGCUAUCAGAGUGGGACUAAGCCAUGCGAGUCAACGUAGCAAUACGUGGCAUACGGCUCAGUAACACGUAGUCAACAUGCCCAGGGGACGAGGAUAACCUCGGGAAACUGAGGAUAAACCACGAUAGGUCAUGAUUUCUGGAAUGAUUCAUGGCUCAAACCUACAUGGCCCCUGGAUUGGACUGCGGCCGAUCAGGCUGUUGGUGAGGUAAUGGCCCACCAAACCUGUUACCGGUACGGGCUCUGAGAGGAGGAGCCCGGAGAUGGGCACUGAGACAAGGGCCCAGGCCCUAUGGGGCGCAGCAGGCGCGAAACCUCUGCAAUAGGCGAAAGCCUGACAGGGUUACUCUGAGUGAUUUCCGCUAAGGGAAUCUUUUGGCACCUCUAAAAAUGGUGCAGAAUAAGGGGUGGGCAAGUCUGGUGUCAGCCGCCGCGGUAAUACCAGCACCCCGAGUGGUCGGGACGAUUAUUGGGCCUAAAGCAUCCGUAGCCGGUCCUGCAAGUCUUCCGUUAAAUCCAGCUGCUUAACAGAUGGGCCACGGGAGAUACUACAGGGCUAGGAGGCGGGAGAGGCAAGCGGUACUUUAUGGGUAGGGGUAAAAUCCGCUGAUCCAUAGAAGACCACCAGUGGCGAAGGCGGCUUGCCAGAACGCGCUCGACGGUGAGGGAUGAAAGCUGGGGGAGCAAACCGGAUUAGAUACCCGGGUAGUCCCAGCUGUAAACGAUGCAGACUCGGUGAUGGGUUGGCCUCGCGCCAACCCAGUGCCGCAGGGAAGCCGUUAAGUCUGCCGCCUGGGGAGUACGGUCGCAAGACUGAAACUUAAAGGAAUUGGCGGGGGAGCACCAC